GGGGAGGUCUGUGGGCACGGAAGGGGCCCUGGGGUCCAUGCUACUCCCGCCCAGGCCAGCCUGGCUCGGGGGUACGGGAUGUCGGGGUCCUGGUGAUACCGGGGUUCUUGUUUGCGGAGUCGAAGAAUGAACUUAGCAAACAGUCAAGUCCACAGCUUCCUGAUCUUGGCCUCUUGGCGUGAACCACAGUGCCUCAGCUCCUGGCCCAGGGGAGAGGAGCCAGGCCCGCACAAUGGCAUCUGUGUGCACGUUUCCUUGAGAAGUGAUUGGUUAAGAGGAGAACUCAUGGGAGGAGAAAGAGUUGAAAGGAAACACUGGUUUUGGAGAGGUGAAGUGGUUCAUUCAGUCACAGCUGCUGAGUGGCCCAGGUGGAGAUGGAAUCCAGGGCUGCGGAACUCCAGAGCCACUCUUCCUAUUGCUCUGCCUGUCAAGAGUCACUUUGUUCUUCAGAGAUUACUUUCUUUCAGUGUUCAGACGGAGAUGGGAUGCACUCAGGGUUGUAUGCUGUAAAUAAUCCAUGGCACAGGUGUUUCACUAAAGCAGUACCUGUGCGUGUACAUUUCUUCUGGGGGGGGGGGUAGAAGAACGGUUUCUGUCAAUAAAACACUACAGACAGGUGGGAUUGUCCUGGCCUGUGCUAUUUAACUAGUGCCUUGUGCAUGUUGGCAGCUGUUGAUAAGGGAUGUUUCGUGCAUCAAUUACAACACCAGUAUAUGAAUCAUCCCAUUACAUGAACACACACACUGUUCUUUCCAUUUUACAAUUCCCUAAAGGACCCUUAGGUCUGAUGAAAAUUUCUAAAAGAAAAUAAAAGGUGAUAAUAAAAGGUUUGCAGUCAGAUUGUGUACUUAUGUUUGAUUAAUUUCCAAAUGAUUCUAAAUAUCUACUGGAAGAAUUUCUUAAGAUUAGCAUUCUGUAAAACACCCAAAAAAAGACUCAAGAAAGGCAAUUACAAGUUUGAUGUUGCAACAGACAUCUGAAUUCUUGGUGUUUAUGAAAGCCGGUUAGACAGCUGGUUGCACUGUCCACCCCUCAGGGUGGAGAAGAUCUGAAGUUCCCACCCAAGCCCUACCACCAACUAUUGUAGCAAUAGCAAGCUAAGUGCUUUCUCCACUAUUUAUUGUGAAUUAAAAACAUAAUAUUCACUUACCGGGAUGUAUCAAUCUGUAUAACCUUGGUUAUGCUGUGGUGAUGACAGUCCCUGCAUCUCAGCAUAGUGUUAUUUUUCUCUAGGCCCACAUCGGGUGCUCUUCUCUGGACAUUCCCAAGGGAACCAGACACCGGAGCCAAUGCAGCCAGUUGCAGCUGGGAAGGAGAAAGCUUGACAAUUCAGGGCUUCCCCCUCUGUCAUUGGCUGGAAAUAUCCCACGAGGCAGGAAGCCCAAGGCAAACAGUAUGAACACCCACCACACUGGCCUCCAACACGGUUGCUCCAGAAGCAUGUGUUCAGUCAAUAAUUCAGAUAUGACACAACAAAUACUAUUUUGAACU